rnacentral:rRNA from 1 species
GAUGAACGCUGGCGGCGUGCCUAAUACAUGCAAGUCGAGCGAACGGACGAGAAGCUUGCUUCUCUGAUGUUAGCGGCGGACGGGUGAGUAACACGUGGAUAACCUACCUAUAAGACUGGGAUAACUUCGGGAAACCGGAGCUAAUACCGGAUAAUAUUUUGAACCGCAUGGUUCAAAAGUGGAAGACGGUCUUGCUGUCACUUAUAGAUGGAUCCGCGCUGCAUUAGCUAGUUGGUAAGGUAACGGCUUACCAAGGCAACGAUGCAUAGCCGACCUGAGAGGGGGGAUCGCCACACUGGGAAAGUGACACGGGCCAGGCCCCCCAGGGGGGGAACAAGGGGGAAAUCUCCCGAAAGGGCGGAAAGCCGGAAGGGGAAACGCGGGGGGAGUGAGGAAGGUCUGGGGAUGGAAAACCCUUUUUAUGGGGAAAAAAAAAAUGUGAAAGUAACUGUGCCCAUUUGGAGGGUACCAAACAAAAAAGCCAGGGUAAACCAGUG